ensembl:snRNA U2 U2 spliceosomal RNA
AUCACUUCUCGGCCUUUUGGCUAAGAACAAGUGUAGUAGCUGUUCUUAUUAGUAUAAAUAAAUGAAGAAUCUGUGCUCAUGUUCAUGGAUUGAAAGGCUCAAUAUAGUAAAGAUGUCAAUUCUCCCCCA